GCGCAGGAAGCAAGCUGAUCCCCUUCGGGGGUGACGCUUGUGGAAUGAGCGGCGGACGGGUGAGUAACACGUGGGCAACCUGCCUGUAAGACUGGGAUAACCCCGGGAAACCGGGGCUAAUACCGGGUAAUACCUGACUCCGCAUGGAGUCGGGUUGAAAGAUGGCUUCUUGCUAUCACUUACAGAUGGGCCCGCGGCGCAUUAGCUAGUUGGUGAGGUAACGGCUCACCAAGGCAACGAUGCGUAGCCGACCUGAGAGGGUGAUCGGCCACACUGGGACUGAGACACGGCCAGACUCCUACGGGAGGCAGCAGUAGGGAAUCUUCCGCAAUGGACGAAAGUCUGACGGAGCAACGCCGCGUGAACGAUGAAGGUCUUCGGAUCGUAAAGUUCUGUUGUCAGGGAAGAACAAGUACCGUGCGAAUAGAGCGGUACCUUGACGGUACCUGACCAGAAAGCCACGGCUAACUACGUGCCAGCAGCCGCGGUAAUACGUAGGUGGCAAGCGUUGUCCGGAAUUAUUGGGCGUAAAGCGCGCGCAGGCGGUUUCUUAAGUCUGAUGUGAAAGCCCCCGGCUCAACCGGGGAGGGUCAUUGGAAACUGGGGAACUUGAGUACAGAAGAGGAGAGUGGAAUUCCACGUGUAGCGGUGAAAUGCGUAGAUAUGUGGAGGAACACCAGUGUCAAAGUCGU
rnacentral:rRNA from 1 species